rnacentral:rRNA from 1 species
ACACUCCUGCGGGAGGCAGCAGUGGGGAAUAUUGCACAAUGGGCGCAAGCCUGAUGCAGCCAUGCCGCGUGUAUGAAGAAGGCCUUCGGGUUGUAAAGUACUUUCAGCGGGGAGGAAGGCGAUAAGGUUAAUAACCUUGUUGAUUGACGUUACCCGCAGAAGAAGCACCGGCUAACUCCGUGCCAGCAGCCGCGGUAAUACGGAGGGUGCAAGCGUUAAUCGGAAUUACUGGGCGUAAAGCGCACGCAGGCGGUCUGUCAAGUCGGAUGUGAAAUCCCCGGGCUCAACCUGGGAACUGCAUUCGAAACUGGCAGGCUAGAGUCUUGUAGAGGGGGGUAGAAUUCCAGGUGUAGCGGUGAAAUGCGUAGAGAUCUGGAGGAAUACCGGUGGCGAAGGCGGCCCCCUGGACAAAGACUGACGCUCAGGUGCGAAAGCGUGGGGAGCAAGCAGGAUUAGAAACCCCAGUAGUCCCAUG